GGGAUACCGAUUGGAAACGAUCGUUAAUACCGCAUAACAUAAUUGAACCGCAUGAUUUGAUUAUCAAAGAUUUAUCGCUGAAAGAUGAGCUCGCGUCUGAUUAGCUAGUUGGUAAGGUAACGGCUUACCAAGGCGACGAUCAGUAGCCGGACUGAGAGGUUGAUCGGCCGCAUUGGGACUGAGACACGGCCCAGACUCCUACGGGAGGCAGCAGUGGGGAAUAUUGCACAAUGGAGGAAACUCUGAUGCAGCGAUGCCGCGUGAGGGAAGAAGGUUUUAGGAUUGUAAACCUCUGUCUUCAGGGACGAAAAAUGACGGUACCUGAGGAGGAAGCUCCGGCUAACUACGUGCCAGCAGCCGCGGUAAUACGUAGGGAGCGAGCGUUGUCCGGAAUUACUGGGUGUAAAGGGAGCGUAGGCGGGAUCGCAAGUCAGAUGUGAAAACUAUGGGCUUAACCCAUAAACUGCAUUUGAAACUGUGGUUCUUGAGUGAAGUAGAGGUAAGCGGAAUUCCUAGUGUAGCGGUGAAAUGCGUAGAUAUUAGGAGGAACAUCAGUGGCGAAGGCGGCUUACUGGGCUUUAACUGACGCUGAGGCUCGAAAGCGUGGGGAGCAAACAGGAUUAGAUACCCUGGUAGUCCACGCCGUAAACGAUGAUUACUGGGUGUGGGGGGACUGACCCCUUCCGUGCCGCAG
rnacentral:rRNA from 1 species